UGUGUCUCCAGUUGUUGCAAUACUACAACUCGCAGCAUUCCCGGACAGCCAAAGGCAUGGAGAGGUCGGGAUCAGCUUCGAGUAUAUAUCAAUUUUUUUUGAUGGCUUGACUAAUAAGACUAUUCAUGGGCUCUCUCUACGAUUUGGACCGGAUAGUUACAUUCUGUUAACCUUUGUUUUAACUCUUCUGCCUGUAAC